rnacentral:rRNA from 1 species
UAGGGAAUCUUCCACAAUGGACGCAAGUCUGAUGGAGCAACGCCGCGUGAGUGAAGAAGGUCUUCGGAUCGUAAAACUCUGUUGUUAGAGAAGAACACGAGUGAGAGUAACUGUUCAUUCGAUGACGGUAUCUAACCAGCAAGUCAUGGCUAACUACGUGCCAC